GUGAUCGGUCUCGAAAUUGUCAAGCCUUCACUACUUGUUAAAGCCAUACUAUCGAAGCACGCCUUCUGAAUCAACUUUCUUCUUCACUCGACACUUAGCUCCCGCACCACAUGCCAAGGCUGACUACCUCGUGUGGCAACAGGUGCCACCGACUAACUCUGUAACCAAUCGUAAGCUCUCACUUCCUCCUACAUGGAGCUCACUUACUCCGACGUCUCAACCCCACAACAAUAUCUUAAGAGUCCCACAUCAACCAAAGGUUUCCGAGACACACAAGCUGAAGGAUUGUAACUGUAAGCGACCGAAUCACCCCUGCGGAAGUUCACUUCCCUAUUCCAAGUUAAUCCUUAUCUUGGCAUCAACUCUUAUUGCUAAAAUAAAUGAUAACUCACCAUUUUUUUCCCGGAAUUACAAAUUGAGGGUAUUUAUGCUUAUAAAAUGAUUGAGAUAUAAUAACUAAAGUUUUUUUUUUCAUCAUAAACUGGCGGAAAAAUUAUUGUAAAACAAAACAUAACUAUGUAUUAAACGCACAAAAAAGAAUUAGAACCAAAACAAAUUAUAAAAUAAAAUAAUAAACAGUCAAAUUCCCAUUUUAACUACUACUUUAGAGCAUCUCCAAAGGAAGAGUAAAAAAGUACACAUUAACAAUAACAGUAAAAAAAGACAACAUUAGUGUUUUUCAACCGAAAUGUCAACUCAUAUGUGACAUGAUGCGGAUUGACAUCAAAGAUGGUUGCUGUCAAAUUUGACAGCAACUUCAAAUCUAAUUUUAGGAAAUAAGUGCUUUUCAUCAUUUUUAUUUUUAUUUUUUGUUUUAAAAAUACUUAUUACAAUUAUGAAAAGUAGAUAAUAGUUUGACAUAUCGAGUGGAGAAGAAAUUUUUUAAAAGGGUCAAAGUGCCACUUAAGUCUUCAAAUUUAAAUUGUAUGUUUAAAAGGGAUAGUGGAUCUGUGAUUUAAUAGAACUCAUGGAACCUUUGAACCACGAAGUCCCCGUCGCACAAAGCUUGCAGUAAUUACACCAUCUUAAAUGUCUUACCGAUCAUUUCAAAGUUCUUUAUGUGGUGAAUAGUUCAUGGCACAAGAUUUUUGCACGAAAAAUUGUUGGUCGUGCGAGAUGGCGCAAAACCUUCAUUUUACUGCGUUUUUACCCAGAUAUUGUGCAAUGAAAUAUCCAUUUUGUCAUGCUAAGCCUUCUUGCGCGGUGAAAGGUUUCGUGGCCUAAUGUUUUCAAUUAUUUUUUAUAGCCUUGAUGUUUUCGUACAACGAUACUCUGAUUUCAUCGCACAAAGUGACAUUGUGCGACAAAAUUUGAUGCGUCACAUAAAGUUGGGUCGCGCAAAUUUUUCUCUACCAGUGUUAAUUUGUACAAUGCUUUGCUAUUACAUGAUUGCGAUUUA